AGCGGAGGAAAAGAAACUAACAAGGAUUCCCCUAGUAACGGCGAGUGAAGCGGGAAGAGCUCAAAUUUGUAAUCUGGCCCUUUCAGGGUCCGAGUUGUAAUCUCGAGAAGUGUUUUCCGCGUCGGACUGCAUACAAGUCUAUUGGAAUAUAGCGUCAUAGUGGUGAGAGCCCCGUAACUGAUGCAGAUGCCCGAUGCUUUGUGAUACACUUUCGAAGAGUCGAGUUGUUUGGGAAUGCAGCUCAAAUUGGGUGGUAAAUUCCAUCUAAAGCUAAAUAUUGGCGAGAGACCGAUAGCGAACAAGUACCGUGAGGGAAAGAUGAAAAGCACUUUGGAAAGAGAGUUAACAGUACGUGAAAUUGUUGGAAGGGAAACGCUUGAAAUCAGACUUGCUAUUCGGAAUUCAGCCGCAAGGUGUACUUUUCGAUUUGCAGGCCAGCAUCAGUUUUUGGGGGUGGAAAAGGGUGGAGAGAAGGUAGCAACCCCGGUUGUGUUAUAGCUCUUCACUGGAUUCAUCUUUGGGGACUGAGGAUCGCAGUGCGCAUUUAUUUGCAAACCUCUCGAGGUUUUCGUACUUAGGAUGCUGGUGGAAUGGUUUUAAACGACCCGUCUUGAACCACGGACCA
rnacentral:rRNA from 1 species